AUCGAUUAUUUGGGUUAUCCGACAAAAGACGAAAGAAAGAAAUGAUUUUACAAAAUCCUGCGUGAUGAUUGGAUAAUCAAAAGUAAAUAUAUAAAUCGAGCCCUUUUCGUUUGAUCUCCAAAAUUUGUGACGUCAAAGUUAUUGAAUAUUAUUGAAAAAACACCAAAAACAAAAUGUUUACCUGCCAUCCACUGUAGUAAUUGAAUCUGCUUCUGGUCAGUGUGUUAUCUCUUAAAACAAAACGAUUCCAUACGUAAGAUAGGAAAAAAUUUCUUCCAGCAAAAGAUCAGGAAGUUCCGACCAUUUUGAAUAUUCCUUAUUUUCUUCAUCGUCCGAAACAUUUUCGAUAUCGAUGUAAACAGCUAAAAUGUUUACAUUAUAAUUUUUGCUCAUAUAUUUUCGACGAAUAUAUGUAGAAUCUUAACAAUUUAUUUUGGGAAUUACAAGUAUUAUUGCAUGCUAUUAUAUCACAAUUUUGACGAUUACUUUUUGUUAACGUAUUGGUUAAAGCGAAACACAACAAGCUGUUAAUAAAUACCUUCUGGGCUUGUAAUUUUUUCCCCGUACCUCUCUGCCCAUAGUUCAGGUUUAAGGUUAUGUCUUUUUGAUUGUGACCACAUAUUAAAAAUACAAUUUACAAACCUACAAUGUAAGUUGUAUUAAUAAAAUGCACUCAUAAAUACAGAACAAACAUUGUGGAGUCUAUAACACAACUGAGACUCAAACGGCUCUAAGGUAUGAUGUGAAAAGUGAAGUAUAAAUAUAUGGUGUUUUCAACUUGAAAAUGUCGCAUCUUCAUCUAUAUCUUUGCUUGGAAAACUAAUUUUUAUUUAUCUUUUAAAAAAAUCACUCACUUCGAUCAUUGUUACAAAUCGUCGGGCAUAGAGAAUAAUCUAAAUCGUGUUUUUCACAUAAAAUUAAUCUAUAGAUCUUAAAAAUAUUAACCUUGUUAAUAGAAACAAUUCAAAAUUAUUAGUAUGAGAAAUUUAUUUAAUUAUAGCAAAAAAAUAUUCCUUACGUAAUUAAAUACAAGUAACGGUCAAAAAAUAUAUAAAAUUAACGACUUAAAAACUUCCUUAUACGUUGUCGCUUUAUAUUUUACCUCUUUUAUCAGAAAACAUGUGUUUGCAAUUAAUACAAUGUGCUACGGCCUUCUAAACAACAACCCAAGUACCAGAGGUCAUAAAAACUGGUACUUUAACGCACGUGUUUUACAAGAAAUAUAAAAUUUAUUAUUUCGAAAAUAAGAUUCAUUUUUGGUUCGAAGGAAUUAACAGUUUCUAGUCAAGUAUUUUGUUUUAAUAUUGAAUAUCUAUAACCUUUCCGUAUCAUGUUUUUGAUAAUCGUAUAUAAACUUUUGUUAUUAACUUUGCAAAGAUAAUAUGCAAGAAGAGACGAAUUCAAAUUAAUGACGUGAAUAACAUUGAAUAAAUCCCAAUACAACUAGUUGUUGUUCAAGUUGUGAUGAAGACAUUAAAAACAAUCGCCCUAAAGAGUAGAGUACCUUUAGAACCGGUAUUUUUUGAAGAGUAUAACUUGUUAUAAAGUAUUUUCGAAAAGUUAUGGUGUCUAUCAGAUUUGGUUGGAUGAACUAAAAAUAUUUAUAAGAAGAUAUAUUAAUAACAAUAAAAAUAUCUACGAAAGAAACAAAUAUGAACUUUAAUUUACUAUGAAAAAUGUAUUACCAACGGUUAAAUGGCUAAAAAGUCACAUAAUCCUGUUAUAUAAAUCAAGUAUAACAAAAAAAUCAAUUUUUUCCAAUAUCCUAUGACAAUGAAAAUGCACACGUUAUUUUUUUAUUUCAAGAUAUAUACGUUUUCAUAGUUGAAACAGUACUAGUAGUAUUUGAAGUUUUUUACCAAUUGGUAAAAGUUGGUUAGGUAGUCAAAUAGCGGAAAAUAACAUUAAAAUAUUUUGAAUAAUCUUUUUGGUUACAAUAUAUAUGGAUAUGCCCAAUAAUUCUACAUUUUCAAAUAUUCGAGUUUGUUUGUUAGAAUUUCUUAAAACAUAUUUUGACCCUGAGAACAACGAAACAUAUUUUAAAAAUAUCUUAGUAAUCCGGCACCUGCUAAUAAUACAUUUUGUUUAUCUAAUGAACCGACAAGAUUGUGCUUCAAAAAUAAGAUACUGUAUGUUAGUAAAGUAUUUAUUUGUGUUGUUUGUGAUAUGGGAACUCUUACCUUCAUCGCUAUCAUCAACUUUCCAACACCCUUGAUUCAUUAUUCAAACGAAAAAUUAUUAUUACUUGAAAUUUAUUUCAUAUAGAUAUUUAUGCAACAGACCUACUGCUAAUUUCUCGUUCUAAAAAUAUACGGAUAGGAUGCGCGUUGUAUCUUUUUGAAAUGUUUUUUUUGGUACAUUAGAAUUUUAUGAAUACUCUAAACAACUUACACAUUUUGUUUUGAAUAUGAUACGGAGCUAAACAACGUUAACUUAAGUCGAUUAACUUUGAGAAAGUAAAUGGAUUUUACGUAUUUCAUUCGGGAAAAAUUACGUUUGACAACAUCGCAAUUUAAAUUUUCUUCUAUAUUAAUUGACUUUGUAUUCUAACAUCAUGUACGCUAAUAUACAUAAAUAUAGUUCAGUACAGUAUUCUGAAUAGAGACUUAUAAAAAUUGAGAGACAGAAAAAUUUCAAAUCAAAUCAUUUAAUCGAAGUAUCACAUUCGAUCUUGACUUAACAGAAACAAAAAAGCAAAAUACAGAGUACAGUAAGGAAAUAAGGAAUAAGGUUAUAAAUUUGUACUUGAAAUCAAUUCCAAACAAAAUCGGGAAAGAGUAACUAAGAUAGUUUGGUCAUAAAAUAUAUGAAACACGAACUAAAGGUAGCAAGGAAAAACGAGGAACAGGAUAGGAAAUAAUGGGAACAGCUGUGGAUAAAGGAAUCCACAUAAUGAUACACCUCAACAGACUGAGGAAUAAAUUAGCUGAUCUACUUCUGUAUCCUUCAUUCCAUUUCAAUAAAAAAUAUAAAAGAUCAAUUGAU